rnacentral:lncRNA from 1 species
UGGGGCCUGUUAUCUAACUCCCACGUGAAUAGAUAUUUUUCGUAUCACACCGUACGGAGUGUGAUAUGAAAAAGUGAUAUCAACAUUACGUUAAUUUGAUUGGCUUAUCUCGUAAAUUUCCAAUAUUUUCAUUGGCCGUUAAUCAGGUCAUUAUUCACUGGAAAAGGUCAUGCCGGGACUACUUUUUUUCUUGACAACUGAUUGUUUACCUCCGGUUUUCGCGAUUUUCGUCUGCUUUACCGAUGGACGUUCGCAAAGCUUCAAAUACAAUACAGUUAUCUCUAUUCUAAUGCAAAACAAGUUCAUAAUUAAAUUUCAAUCACAAUUUCAGUGAAAAAUCUUCAAUAAAGAAAAUUCCGCGAAAAGAUGUUGUCUUCUUUGGUCCCUACACUACGUGACGUCAUAGGUAUGCUUCCGGUGUCAUACAUAAACACCGGGCGUUUUCUGGCUUCUGUGCCGCUUCAGAAUGUAAUAAAAUUUGAUAAAAAGAAGAUUUUAAGGCGCAACAAGUGAGUUAUUUGUUAAUUAUUGUAGAAAAACGUGUCAAUACACUUGUUACAAAUUAGAUAUCAGGCCCCAACCAUAAGAGAAAGAUCAGUACGCGUUGCAAAGAAAAACGGCCGUAGCAACACAACUCGCAACAAAUAGUCCACGCACAUACAACUUUUUGCCAUAAGAGAAAUAGGUUUAACAACUUGUGAGAAUUAUAUAUCGCAUGAUAUCAACUCUCGUUAUUUAAUUUCAAUAAUAAUAAACUCGCC